rnacentral:snoRNA from 1 species
CCUCUUUUUCUUGGCAGGGUUCGGGCAUGCGGUCCUGGCACCCGUAAUGUGCAGAGGUAGAGGGAAAGGGCUCUGCCCCCCUUGGUGUCAUGUCUUCGGUACCAGUAGCUUCCAGUCCGACGGUUGUAUCCUCAAGCACCAAAACACAG